rnacentral:rRNA from 1 species
AGUGAACGCUGGCGGUAGGCCUAACACAUGCAAGUCGAACGGCAGCACAGUAAGAGCUUGCUCUUACGGGUGGCGAGUGGCGGACGGGUGAGGAAUACAUCGGAAUCUACUUUUUCGUGGGGGAUAACGUAGGGAAACUUACGCUAAUACCGCAUACGACCUACGGGUGAAAGCAGGGGAUCUUCGGACCUUGCGCGAUUGAAUGAGCCGAUGUCGGAUUAGCUGGUUGGCGGGGUAAAGGCCCACCAAGGCGACGAUCCGUAGCUGGUCUGAGAGGAUGAUACGCCACAUUGGAACUGAGAAACAGUCCUAACACCUGCAGUCAGCAGCAGUGGGGAGUGGAGGAGAAUGGGCGCAAGCCGGACACAGCCAUACCGCGUGAGUGAAGUAGGCCCUGGGAUUGUAAGGGCGUUGUUUUAGGAAUGAAGAACAACGUGAUAUUGGCCUGCUGUUCUGACGGGACCCAAAGUUGAAGCACCGGCUAACUUCCUG